rnacentral:rRNA from 1 species
UACGUAGGGUGCAAGCGUUGUCCGGAAUUAUUGGGCGUAAAGAGCUCGUAGGCGGUCUGUCGCGUCGGAUGUGAAAAUCCAGGGCUCAACCCUGGACCUGCAUUCGAUACGGGCAGACUAGAGUUCGGCAGGGGAGACUGGAAUUCCUGGUGUAGCGGUGAAAUGCGCAGAUAUCAGGAAGAACACCCGUGGCUAAGGCGGUUCUCUAGUACGGUACUGACGCUGAGACGCGAAAGCGUGGGGAGCGAACAGG